rnacentral:rRNA from 1 species
GAUGAACGCUAGCGGCAGGCUUAACACAUGCAAGUCGAGGGGCAGCACGGGUAGCAAUACCUGGUGGCGACCGGCGCAAGGGUGCGUAACGCGUGAGCAACAUGCCCUAUACAGGGGGAUAAUCCAGGGAAACUUCGGUCUAAUAUCCCAUAGUAUUUAGAGGAGGCAUCUUCUAUAAAUUAAAGCUUCGGUGGUAUAGGAUUGGCUCGCGUGACAUUAGCUAGAUGGUGAGGUAACGGCUCACCAUGGCAAUGAUGUCUAGGGGUUCUGAGAGGAAGGCCCCCCACACUGGGACUGAGACACGGCCCAGACUCCUACGGGAGGCAGCAGUGAGGAAUAUUGGACAAUGGAUGGAAAUCUGAUCCAGCCAUGCCGCGUGCCAGGAAGACAGCCCUAUGGGUUGUAAACUGCUUUUAUAUGGGAGCAAUAAGGUCUACGUGUAGACUGAUGAGAGUACCAUAUGAAUAAGC